AGUGAACGCUGGCGGUAGGCCUAACACAUGCAAGUCGAACGGCAGCACAGGAGAGCUUGCUCUCUGGGUGGCGAGUGGCGGACGGGUGAGGAAUACAUCGGAAUCUACUUUUUCGUGGGGGAUAACGUAGGGAAACUUACGCUAAUACCGCAUACGACCUACGGGUGAAAGCAGGGGAUCUUCGGACCUUGCGCGAUUGAAUGAGCCGAUGUCGGAUUAGCUAGUUGGCGGGGUAAAGGCCCACCAAGGCGACGAUCCGUAGCUGGUCUGGGAGAAUGAUCAGCCACACUGGAACUGAGAGACGGUCCAGACUCCUACGGGAGGCAGCAGUGGGGAAUAUUGGACAAUGGGCGCAAGCCUGAUCCAGCCAUACCGCGUGGGUGAAGAAGGCCUUCGGGUUGUAAAGCCCUUUUGUUGGGAAAGAAAUCCAGCUGGUUAAUACCCGGUUGGGAUGACGGUACCCAAAGAAUAAGCACCGGCUAACUUCGUGCCAGCAGCCGCAGUAA
rnacentral:rRNA from 1 species